UACGUAGGUGGCAAGCGUUGUCCGGAUUUACUGGGCGUAAAGCGCGCGCAGGCGGUCGUUCAAGUCGCGUGUGAAAGCCCCCGGCUCAACUGGGGAGGGUCACGCGAUACUGAUCGACUCGAAGGCAGGAGAGGGUAGUGGAAUUCCCGGUGUAGUGGUGAAAUGCGUAGAUAUCGGGAGGAACACCAGUGGCGAAGGCGACUACCUGGCCUGUUCUUGACGCUGAGGCGCGAAAGCGAGGGGAGCAAACGGG
rnacentral:rRNA from 1 species